UACGUAGGGGGCGAGCGUUGUCCGGAUUUAUUGGGCGUAAAGAGCGUGUAGGCGGCCAGGUAGGUCUGCUGUGAAAACUCGAGGCUUAACCUCGAGCUGUCGGCGGAAACCAUCUGGCUAGAGUCCGGAAGAGGAGAAUGGAAUUCCCGGUGUAGCGGUGAAAUGCGCAGAUAUCAGGAGGAACACCAAUUGCGAAGGCAGCUCGCUGGGACGUUACUGACGCUGAGACGCGAAAGCGUGGGGAGCAAACAGG
rnacentral:rRNA from 1 species